GUGCAGCAGUCGAGAAACCUCCCCAAUGCCCGAAAGGGUGAGGGGGUCACCCCGAGUGCCACCCUCGUGGUGGCUUUUGCGGGGUCUAAAAAGCCCCGCGAAUAAGGGGAGGGCAAGACGGGUGUCAGCCGCCGCGGUAAUACCCGCUCCCCGAGUGGUGGGGACUAGUUACUGGGCUUAAAGCGUCCGUAGCCGGCUGGGUGUGUCCCCCGUUAAAUCCACGGGCCUAACCCGUGGGCUGCGGGGGAUACUACCUGGCUUGGGGGUGGAGAGGGCGGCGGUAUUCCCGGGGUAGGGGUAAAAUCCUCUGAUCCCGGGAGGACCACCAGUGGCGAAGGCGGCCGCCCAGAACACGCCCGACGGUGAGGGACGAAAGCUGGGGGAGCAAA
rnacentral:rRNA from 1 species